UCCCUGAAGUUUCAGCUUUAUUAAGUGGCGACGAGAAAAGUGGAAAAUUAAAAGUGUAACCGGUAGUGUUUGCUUCGGAAAGCAGAAAACAUUGUUGCAGCGGCGUACUGCACCUAGUGGAUUUAGGCAAUUUAGUGUGCGAGAAAAACAGCAAAAGUGCAAAAGUCCGUGGCUUUGAUUGCGUUUUCGCAGCCGGACAGUGUACAGAUUUAGUUUGCAGCUGUUUUGUAUUCAGCUGGUGUCUGCGUUUUUAAAUCUCACUGGUUCUUUGGAAAAUUGCCGACAAAUCAUCCAGUAGGACAAACGACCGGAUUAUUUUAAUUCAGAGCGGACCAAGCUCCAUGAAACGUUUAAAGACGGCUACUGGAUAGAUCUUCUGGACAUUUUGAAUCAACCGGGUGCAGCCUGAAUAGUUUUUGCAGCGUUAAAAAAAAGAGGAUUGAGCCAGCGAGUCUGGUCAGAAUAUUUCUUUGACAGACUUUUGCGGUCAAGAGUAUACCGGUAUCUGGUGUCGGUUGGAAACGUCGUCAUCACGGCGCAUCGUAGUCAACUUAAACCAGCGAAAUAUUCACCUGCUAAGGCGUGCGGAAUAGUUUUCCCUGGCGCUAGCAGCGAUAAGGAGGUGCGUGUCGAAGGUACCAACCGCAAGCGAAGUUUUCGCUCAACAAGUUUUUGCAACGAGGAAGUGUUUCGAGGGUUCGAAGAACCCGCCAUCAAGAAUCGGAGAAUGGAGUCGUCUAAUGAAGAUCGAAGAGAAGCAGCAGGCAUUACAACUCCUACUUUAAGGAGAUCGAAGCGUUUGAAAAAAGCUAAAAUCGAACGAAAUUUUAUAUAUGGAAAUGCUUGUAAAUGAUUACUAUCGAAUUUAAUAUUUUUUCAAAUUAUAA